rnacentral:rRNA from 1 species
GUGCCAGCAGCCGCGGUAAUACGUAGGGUGCAAGCGUUAAUCGGAAUUACUGGGCGUAAAGUGUGCGCAGGCGGUUGUGCAAGACAGAUGUGAAAUCCCUGGGCUUAACCCUGGAAUUGCAUUUGUGGCUGCACGGCUAGAGUGUGUCAGAGGGGGGUAGAAUUCCACGUGUAGCAGUGAAAUGCGUAGAUAUGUGGAGGAAUACCGAUGGCGAAGGCAGCCCCCUGGGAUAACACUGACGCUCAUGCACGAAAGCGUGGGGAGCAAACAGGAUUAGAUACCCCUCCUUGUAG